AACGGCAGCACGGGUGCUGUGCACCUGGUGGCGAGUGGCGAACGGGUGAGUAAUACAUCGGAACAUGUCCUGUAGUGGGGGAUAGCCCGGCGAAAGCCGGAUUAAUACCGCAUACGAUCUACGGAUGAAAGCGGGGGACCUUCGGGCCUCGCGCUAUAGGGUUGGCCGAUGGCUGAUUAGCUAGUUGGUGGGGUAAAGGCCUACCAAGGCGACGAUCAGUAGCUGGUCUGAGAGGACGACCAGCCACACUGGGACUGAGACACGGCCCAGACUCCUACGGGAGGCAGCAGUGGGGAAUUUUGGACAAUGGGCGAAAGCCUGAUCCAGCAAUGCCGCGUGUGUGAAGAAGGCCUUCGGGUUGUAAAGCACUUUUGUCCGGAAAGAAAUCCUUGGCUCUAAUACAGUCGGGGGAUGACGGUACCGGAAGAAUAAGCACCGGCUAACUACGUGCCAGCAGCC
rnacentral:rRNA from 1 species